rnacentral:rRNA from 1 species
AUUGAACGCUGGCGGCAUGCUUUACACAUGCAAGUCGAACGGCAGCGCGGGCUUCGGCCUGGCGGCGAGUGGCGAACGGGUGUGUAAUACAUCGGAACGUGCCCAGUAGUGGGGGAUAGCUCGGCGAAAGCCGGAUUAAUACCGCAUACGACCUGAGGGUGAAAGCGGGGGAUCUUCGGACCUCGCGCUAUUGUAGCGGCCGAUGGCAGAUUAGCUAGUUGGUGGGGUAAAGGCCUACCAAGGCGACGAUCUGUAGCUGGUCUGAGAGGACGACCAGCCACACUGGGACUGAGACACGGCCCAGACUCCUACGGGAGGCAGCAGUGGGGAAUUUUGGACAAUGGGCGAAAGCCUGAUCCAGCAAUGCCGCGUGUGUGAUGAAGGCCUUCGGGUUGUAAAGCACUUUUGGCGGGAACGAAAAGGACUGUGCCAAUACCACGGUUCGAUGACGGUACCCGCAGAAUAAGCACCGGCUAACUACGUG